rnacentral:rRNA from 1 species
AACGUAGGGGGCAAGCGUUGUCAGGAUUCAUUGGGCGUAAAGAGCUCGUAGGCGGCUUGGCCAGUCGGAUGUGAAAUCUCCAGGCUCAACCUGGAGUCGCCAUCCGAUACUGCUAUGGCUAGAGUCCGGUAGAGGAUCGUGGAAUUCCUGGUGUAGCGGUGAAAUGCGCAGAUAUCAGGAGGAACACCGAUGGCGAAGGCAGCGAUCUGGGCCGGCACUGACGCUGAGGAGCGAAAGCGUGGGGAGCGAACAGG